rnacentral:tRNA from 1 species
GCGGGUGUAGCUCAGUGGUUAGAGUGCCUGCCUGUCACGCAGGAAGCCGCGAGUUCAAGUCUCGUCAUCCGCG